UACGAAGGGGGCUAGCGUUGCUCGGAUUGACUGGGCGUAAAGGGCGCGUAGGCGGAUAGUACAGUCAGGCGUGAAAUUCCUGGGCUCAACCUGGGGGCUGCGUUUGAUACGUAUUGUCUGGAGUUCGGAAGAGGGUCGUGGAAUUCCCAGUGUAGAGGUGAAAUUCGUAGAUAUUGGGAAGAACACCGGUGGCGAAGGCGGCGACCUGGUCCGAUACUGACGCUGAGGCGCGAAAGCCAGGGGAGCAAACGGG
rnacentral:rRNA from 1 species